rnacentral:rRNA from 1 species
GAUGAACGCUGGCGGCGUGCCUAAUACAUGCAAGUCGAGCGAACAGAUGAGGAGCUUGCUCCUCUGACGUUAGCGGCGGACGGGUGAGUAACACGUGGAUAACCUACCUAUAAGACUGGGAUAACUUCGGGAAACCGGAGCUAAUACCGGAUAAUAUAUUGAACCGCAUGGUUCAAUAGUGAAAGACGGUUUUGCUGUCACUUAUAGAUGGAUCCGCGCCGCAUUAGCUAGUUGGUAAGGUAACGGCUUACCAAGGCAACGAUGCGUAGCCGACCUGAGAGGGGGAUCGGCCACACUGGAACUGAGACACGGUCCAGACUCCUACGGGAGGCAGCAGUAGGGAAUCUUCCGCAAUGGGCGAAAGCCUGACGGAGCAACGCCGCGUGAGUGAUGAAGGUCUUCGGAUCGUAAAACUCUGUUAUUAGGGAAGAACAAAUGUGUAAGUAACUAUGCACGUCUUGACGGUACCUAAUCAGAAAGCCACGGCUAACUACGG